rnacentral:rRNA from 1 species
UACGUAGGGUGCAGGCGUUAAUCGGAAUCACUGGGCUUAAAGCGCGUGUAGGCGGGUCGUUAAGUGUCCGCGUGAAAUCCCACGGCUCAACCGUGGAACUGCCGGGCAUACUGGCGACCUUGAGGCACUUAGGGGCGAGCGGAACAAAUGGUGGAGCGGUGAAAUGCGUAGAUAUCAUUUGGAACGCCGACGGUGAAAACAGCUCGCUGGGAGUGUCCUGACGCUGAGACGCGAAAGCCAGGGGAGCGAACGGG